UAGUCCUGCCUUUAGAUGUUACUUAACUU
rnacentral:piRNA from 1 species